UACGGAGGGUGCAAGCGUUGUUCGGAUUUAUUGGGCGUAAAGGGCGCGUAGGCGGCCUGUUAAGUCGAACGUGAAAUCCCCGGGCUCAACCCGGGAACUGCGUCCGAUACUGGCAGGCUUGAAUCCGGGAGAGGGAUGCGGAAUUCCAGGUGUAGCGGUGAAAUGCGUAGAUAUCUGGAGGAACACCGGUGGCGAAGGCGGCAUCCUGGACCGGCAUUGACGCUGAGGCGCGAAAGCCAGGGGAGCAAAACGGGG
rnacentral:rRNA from 1 species